UACGUAGGCAGCAAGCGUUGUUCGGAGUUACUGGGCGUAAAGGGUGUGUAGGCGGUUGUUUAAGUUUGGUGUGAAAUCUCCCGGCUCAACUGGGAGGGUGCGCCGAAUACUGAAUGACUAGAGUGCGGGAGAGGUGAGUGGAAUUCCUGGUGUAGCGGUGAAAUGCGUAGAUAUCAGGAGGAACACCGGUGGUGUAGACGGCUCACUGGACCGUAACUGACGCUGAAACACGAGAGCGUGGGUAGCAAACAGG
rnacentral:rRNA from 1 species